UUAAAAAGCUCGUAGUUGAAUUUCGGAAUUUGUCGGUUGGUCGGGCUUCACUGUCCGCACUGGCCUGAUGGAUUCCUACCUUCUGAAUAACCAGCAUGCUAUUAAUUUAGUGCGUUGGGGAAGCAGAGCUAUUACCUUGAAAAAAUUAGAGUGCUUAAAGCAGGCUCACGCUUGAAUAGAUUAGCAUGGAAUAAUAAAAUAGGACGGCUUGGUUCUAUUUUGUUGGUUUCUAGGAUCACCGUAAUGAUUAAUAGGGAUAGUUGGGGG
rnacentral:rRNA from 1 species